rnacentral:rRNA from 1 species
AUUGAACGCUGGCGGCAUGCUUUACACAUGCAAGUCGAACGGUAACAGGCCUUCGGGUGCUGACGAGUGGCGAACGGGUGAGUAAUGCAUCGGAACGUGCCCAGAGGUGGGGGAUAACGCAGCGAAAGCUGUGCUAAUACCGCAUGUGAUCUGAGGAUGAAAGCGGGGGACCAGGCAGCAAUGUUUGGCCUCGCGCCUUUGGAGCGGCCGAUGUCAGAUUAGGUAGUUGGUGGGGUAAAGGCCUACCAAGCCGACGAUCUGUAGCUGGUCUGAGAGGACGACCAGCCACACUGGGACUGAGACACGGCCCAGACUCCUACGGGAGGCAGCAGCGGGGAAUUUUGGACAAUGGGCGCAAGCCUGAUCCAGCAAUGCCGCGUGCGGGAAGAAGGCCUUCGGGUUGUAAACCGCUUUUGUACGGAACGAAAAGGCUCUGGCUAAUACCUGGGGCUGAUGACGGUACCGUAAGAAUAAGCACCGGCUAACUACGUG